CAGAGUUGCAAAACUCCCUAAACCCACUGUGAAUCUUACCUGUCUUCGUUGCUUCGGCAGGCGGUCCCAGGGCGGGACCUUUGCCUUUGCUGGCGCCUGCCGGAGGAGCACACAAACUCUGUUUUUUUUGUUUAUUCUGAAUACCAAAAGUCUCUGAAAACGGGACUAAAUAAGUCA
rnacentral:misc_RNA from 1 species